AUCAGUUUCUGCUGAUCAACAUAGUUAAACAUUUCCCACCACUUGAUUAACUUUUUGGGCUCCUUGACAACCAUCAGGACUCUAAACUUGGUGGACAAAUCCAUCCUGUAAUAACACAUAAGACGUUAUCUCAAAAAUUCGAUAGGAGUAGAAGAUUCUCAACCCUUGGGAUUUUUUACGCAAACAUAUGUCGAUGGGACAGACCACUCCAUGACUCCCAUUUGACGAACAGAAGUACUAAGAAAAAUCAGUCUACUUGGCUAACAACUCUAGAUUAUGGGUCGAGAGACCUAGGCUAAUAAUAAGACAAAGGCCAACACAAAGAUUACUGGACCCACCAAGGGUUGACUACGUAUCCCAACCCGAGGGAAGGGAAUCAGGUAUGCAUAGUUCAUACAGAUUGGACAAUUAACGAUUAACUAAUAAAUUGACCCUAGCUUAAGAGACACAACCAAAAACAAACGAAUAAAAACUUUUUGGAUUUUCAACUAGACACUUCAACUAAGACUGACACCACCAAUUAUGAAGAAAAAAUCUUUUUGGUAUUUUUGCUUUUGACAAAUAAGUAGAAAAGGAAAAUAAAACCCUCUUUUUUUCCUUUUCGAACUCACGGUACUUUGAGAAGACAAAUGCAAAACGUGAAAAAAAAAAAAUCUUUCUGAGUUUUUGGAUCGUGAAGAACAAAAGUCAUAAAGAACUCUAAAAUAAACUACGACCCUCCUUUUGAUUCAUUCUUUUCGACUCACUUUUUUUCUAUAUUUUUUUUCUCUUCUUUUUUUUCUUUUUCGUUUUUGCCUACGCACCUUACUCCUAAAAUUUUUUUUUUUCAAAUUAAUUUAUCAAAUGACCACGUUACCCUUAAAGAUGCAACAGUUAGCACGUACGGAUGCCUUAGAGGUGAGUCUCCUACAAAGGGACAUAUGGGUCCCGCUAGGUCUCAGUUUGAUGCACAUAAGCAUAACCUAAAGGCUGACCUACGUUGUGGUUCACUAACAAGGCUGUUCGGGGGAGCGUAUGGUCGAUAGUGGCUGCUUUGCUUUUCACCUACUCCAUAACACCGAUGGAUCCCCCCUAAAAUAAGGGUGACUCAACUAGAGCGUGUAUAACACGUAUGCUAUGGACUUUUUGCAGAAAGAAGGCCUGGGGGUAGACACAUGAUGCUAGAUAUAAAAGUGGUAACACAUAGGAUAAAUACUAUACACAAAGAGCACGAAAACGCACAACAAUGAUAACAAUAACACAAACAAUAAUCACAAACGAUGUUUAUACACCCAUAAUGCAAAAACAAAGCCAAUACGACUCCAAAAAUAAGCUUCAAUUCUGAAAUUUUCCCAGCAGAGUCGCCAGAGCUGUCACACCCUUUUUUCUUAACUUCAAAAAUAUUCGUUUUGGGUUCGAAAGGGUUUUUAUUAUUAAGUGACAAAAUAAAAUGAUUUAUUUCGAAAAAGACUUUUAACAAUCAAAACUCAGAGUCACCACUUGGCAUAAAUCGGGUGUGCCAAGUCACCCAUGGAUAUCCUUUUUUAAAAUGGUUUUGACUCUUUAAUACUGGUUUGCGAACAGAAAUUUCAGCUAAGGAAUUUUGUUGACCGAGGGAAAGGUGUUAGGCACCCCUCGAUCCCGUGGUUUGACCACGGUCGCUUGGCAGAGCGUAUCGGCUAAAUUGACAUUACAAAUGCAUAAACUACACAAAGCACGCAAAAAACAAUCAUUCAAGCAAACAAAAAAAAAUAAUCCAAAAUAUAAUGUCUAAUCCAAUUAUACAGUCCCGAAAAAUGAAAAAUGCGAAAAUGUAAACCUAUUCUAUUCUAAACUAAUCCUAAACUACUCCUAUGCUUUACCCAACGCUUCAGGCCUUCAUCAGGGACGUCCUCCGAAUACAAAAUAUCUCGGGGCAUUUCCCGGAUAAAAAUAAUACAAGUACUUCGGGGCAUUCCUCGGCCAAAUGAUAUAAGUGAUCCCUAAGAAAUAUAGCCAAGAACCAUUCAAUCAAACAAAUCAAAUAUUCCAUCAAUCCACAAUCCCUAAAUUCGCCUACCCGACCUAUGUUUCCUAUCAAGCUUUUGAUUUAAAAUGAUUCUAUCAAAUUUAUGCUUAAUACAAAUUAAAUGAAACGACAACGGUCCAAAAUUUAACUACAUUCAACCUUUUAGCAAAUUCUUAUUCCCACCCCGAAAUCCUUUUCCAACCAAAAAUUAACACAUGCUUUGACUAUCAACUCAAUUUUUUAACUCGGAAUCCAAUAUAAACAACGUAGAUCCAACAACAAUUAAAGCACGAUAAUCAUACGAAUUUCACGUGAAUAACAUCAAACAUUCACCAACUCAUCCAAUUUCAAACAUGCUCAAUUCAACAAAUUACGAUAAAGAAGAGAGAAUGAGUUAAAGAAAUGGACCUUCCGAUAAUCGAUUUCGGUUGGUAAUAAUAUUAAAGAAAACCCGCACUUGGAAUCUUGAAUAUAGAACCUCGAUUGCGAUGAAUCCAACUCGGUAUAGAGAAAAACUAAUAGGAAAACUUCAAAACCAGUGAGACAAACUUUGUUAUACGAAACCCAACCAAGAACGACGAUGCAAUUUGAUAACGACAACUCGAAAUCCAAUAUCAACAACGAACUAAGAAAUAGACGAACCCAAGACCCCCAAUAAACCACCAGGAACCCAAAACCCAAUACAGAUCAAGCUCCGGUGAGCUGCGAAAAUGGAAAACUGAUGGGAUAAGGUUUGACUCCGGGACUGUAUUGUUUUUUCGUAUAAAUCUAACCAGAACUAGAAAGAAAUCGAUGAGAUCUAGGGAUUUUGGGACUGAACCGAGCAGACGACGACUAGUAAACUAAUUGCGGCAAAAGUUCGCCGGAAAACUCAAACGAAAUGGCCAGAUCUCACCGGCUUCGCUGUUUCUCACCGGAUCUCCGUCAAUAGCGCUGUUUCACUAUAUCUCCUUGCUCAGCGAGUGUGUAUGGGCAUUUUUCGAUGAUUUUUGUGAGUGUGUGUGCGCGAUUUAUGUCAAUCUGUGUGUAUGUGUGUUAAUCGAAGAAGAUGGUGAGUGUGUGAGUCUAGUGGGUGUUUGUGUGUCUAAGAUGAUAAAGAAGUUGUGCGUUUGUUGUGUAUAUGGAAGAAGAAGUUGUGAGCUUUUUUUUUCUUUGGAUCUGGUUUUUUUC
rnacentral:lncRNA from 1 species